rnacentral:rRNA from 1 species
GAUGAACGCUGGCGGCGUGCCUAAUACAUGCAAGUCGAGCGAACAGACGAGGAGCUUGCUCCUCUGACGUUAGCGGCGGACGGGUGAGUAACACGUGGAUAACCUACCUAUAAGACUGGGAUAACUUCGGGAAACCGGAGCUAAUACCGGAUAAUAUAUUGAACCGCAUGGUUCGAUAGUGAAAGACGGUUUUGCUGUCACUUAUAGAUGGAUCCGCGCCGCAUUAGCUAGUUGGUAAGGUAACGGCUUACCAAGGCAACGAUGCGUAGCCGACCUGAGAGGGUGAUCGGCCACACUGGAACUGAGACACGGUCCAGACUCCUACGGCAGGCAGCAGUAGGGAAUCUUCCGCAAUGGGCGAAAGCCUGACGGAGCAACGCCGCGUGAGUGAUGAAGGUCUUCGGAUCGUAAAACUCUGUUAUUAGGGAAGAACAAAUGUGUAAGUAACUAUGCACGUCUUGACGGUACCUAAUCAGAAAGCCACGGCUAACUACGUG